CAACUUAAUCAAUCUGUGAUUGAUUCCUGGCAUUUCUCAUCAUCAUCUGUAGUCCCUUUUACCUGGUGAAGCAGAGGCCCAGGGUCCACUGUUGCCAUAAAAACACCCACAGAAGGAUUUGUGGCACAUAACAGGCUUUCAUCUUGCUGAGACAAGAAAAGAAAUAACCACCAAUUCCUGACCUAGGUCAGUCAGCACACAGUUUAUUUUGCCUUGGGAGACAUCAUGAAGGAGACCAGCAUGGAGACCAGCUGAGAUACUGCAGGAGCAUAUGAGGAGCCAGUUGGAAUGACUUUUAAUCCCUUUUCUCAUUUAGUCCUGAGGUUAAAAGGUGUUGUUCAUCCCAAGGGAGCUCUGAAGAGAAAGGAUGGUGGAGCCUUGGACUGCAGGGAGUCUCGUGCUGUUCCCUAAACACUCUCAAAGUGUUCAUGAGAUGCAGCCUUUGCCACAGUUGAUACCAAAGACCUUCCUGCAAAUUAU